CAGCCGUAAACGAUGCGCGUUAGGUGUAUCGACGACCACGAGUCGUCGAGGUGCCGAAGGGAAACCGUGAAACGUGCCGCCUGGGAAGUACGGUCGCAAGGCUGAAACUUAAAGGAAUUGGCGGGGGAGCACCACAACAGGUGGAGCCUGCGGUUUAAUUGGACUCAACGCCGGAAAUCUCACCGGAUAGGACAGACAUAUGAUAGUCGGGCUGAAGACUCUACUUGAUGAUCUGAGAGGAGGUGCAUGGCGUCAGUGACU
rnacentral:rRNA from 1 species